UCCUCUAAAGAGCCGUUCGAGACUAGGACGUUGAUAGGUUGGGUGUGGAAGCACGGUGACGUGUGAAGCUGACCAAUACUAAUUGCUCGUGAGGCUUGACUAUACAACACCCAAACAGUUG
rnacentral:rRNA from 1 species